rnacentral:rRNA from 1 species
CAUGCCGUGACCGAUGAGUAUUAAAGGUGAAUUUUUAUAUUUGUCUUUAAGCUAACGCGUAAACACUCCGCCUAGGAAUUACAAUCGCAAGGUUUAAACCUAAAGGAAUUGGCGGAGAGUUAUCACAGCGGUGGAGCAUGUGGUUUAAUCUGAUGAUCCGCAUAGAAUCUUACCAGUUUUUGGGCAACAAAUCUAGAUAGUUGAUUGAGUUUAACUAAGCAGAUAUACAUAACGUAUAGAGCUUACGUAGAUUUGAGCAGGUGC